rnacentral:sRNA from 1 species
AUUGGCGAUUUGAAAGCGGCGGUUUUUGGCUUAGGCGGAGGUGGGCGGGCCAAGUUUUGGGUCCUCAUCUGGUGAGGUCCCGCGUUAAUGACGUCACAUUGUUUCGCGGGAGAAAUUCGAAAGUGGAUUUUGUGCAAUUUGACAGGUGGUAUAAAUAGUUGAAUAUUUCCUAUUUUCUGGACCCAGCUGGUUUAUAACUUCAGAAGAAAUAAUGGAAAGCCAAGAAUUUAUUGUUCUAUAUACUCAUCAAAAGAUGAAGAAAUCAAAAGUGUGGCAAGAUGGAAUUCUGAAGAUCACUCACUUAGGAAACAAAGCAAUUUUAUAUGAUGACAAAGGAGCAUGUUUGGAGAGUCUGUUUCUUAAAUGCCUUGAGGUGAAACCUGGAGAUGACUUAGAAAGUGAUCGAUACUUAAUCACAGUUGAAGAGGUUAAAGUUGCUGGAGCCAUAGGUACUGUUAAGCAGAAUGUCAAUAAAGAAGCACCAGAGUUAAAUUCAAGGACAUUUAUAUCCUCUGGCCGAUCUCUUGGAUGUCAGCCCUCUGGCUUAAAAAGGAAGUUUACUGGUUUUCAAGGACCACGUCAGGUUCCAAAGAAAAUGGUUAUUAUGGAAAGUGGUGAAUCAGCUGCAUCACAUGAGGCUAAGAAAACUGGCCCUACUAUUUUUUCUCCAUUCUACAGCAUGCCUCCUUUGUUUCCUACUGUUGGCAAGAAAGAUGUAAAUAAUAUACUGGCAGACCCUGAGAACAUUGUGACUUACAAGAACAGGGAGAGAAAUGCCAUGGAUUUUUCUUCAGUUUUUUCUCCAUCCUUCCAGAUUAACCCAGAAGUGCUGUGUGAAGAAAAUUAUUUUUGCUCUCCUGUCAAUUCUGGAAAUAAGCUUUCAGACUCUUUACUGACCAAUGAGCCUGUGAAAAGAGAUAGUUUGGCAUCUCACUAUUCAGGAGUUUCACAAAACAUCAGAAGCAAAGCACAGAUAUUAGCUCUUCUGAAGUCCGAAUCAUCUAGUUCAUGUGAGGAACUAAAUUCUGAGAUGACAGAGUGUUUUCCUCAAAGACAACCACAAGGAAGUUUAAAAAUUGCUACUAAACCAAAGUACCUAAUUCAACAGGAAGAGUGUGCUGAGAUGAAGAGCACAGAAAAUUUAUACUACCAGCAUCAAUCAGAAAAUACCAUGAGAAAUAAAAGCCGGUGGGCCAUGUAUUUAUCCUCACAGAGUUCACCUAUACAUUCUUCUACUGUAGAUGGGAAUGAUACAGAAAGGAAACCCAAGGCCCAGGAAGAUGAUGUAAAUUCUAAUUUGAAAGACCUUUCAUUACAAAAAAAUAUACAGUUCGUUGAAACAUGUGCUGAAGAGAGGAAAAAGUAUAAUGUAGACCAGUCAGUCGGUAAUAAUGAUCCAUCCUGGAAUCAGGAAGUAAAAUUAGAAAUUCCUUCAUUCAAUGAAAGCAGUAGCUUACAGGUUACUUGUAGCAGUGCAGAAAAUGAUGGUAUAUUAUCAGAAUCCGACAUUCAAGAAGAUAAUAAAAUACCUUUUAAUCAAAAUGACAAGGGGUGCAUUAAAGGAUCAGUUCUCAUUAAAGAAAAUGCUCAGGAGGUAAAUACAUGUGGAACACUGGAAAAGGAGUGUGAACAAUCAGAGUCAUCUCUGCCAGAACUGAAACAUCUCCAAAUUGAAUCUAGUAAUAAUUCUAGGAUCUCUGAUGACAUUACAGACAUGAUUUCUGAAAGUAAAAUGGAUAAUGAAAGUCUUAAUAGUAUUCAUGAAUCUCUGAGUAAUGUAACACAACCAUUUUUGGAGGUAACUUUUAAUCUGAACAAUUUUGAGACCAGUGACACUGAGGAAGAAUCACAGGAAAGCAACAAAAUUUCCCAGGAUUCAGAGAGUUGGGUAAAGGACAUUUUGGUUAAUGAUGGCAAUUCAUGUUUUCAAAAGAGGUCUGAGAAUACAAACUGUGAAGAGAUUGAGGGUGAACAUUUGCCAUUCUUAACAUCUGUUAGUGACAAACCUACAGUGACAUUUCCUGUUAAAGAGACUCUGCCAUCACAGUUUUGUGAUAAAACUUAUGUGGGUUUUGACAUGGGAAUAUGUAAAACUGAAAACAGAGGAAAAGAAAUAGAGGAGUAUAGUGACACAUUAAGCAAUUUUGAAUCUUUCAAGUGGACUGAUGCUGUAUACGGAGAUAAUAAAGAAGAUGCUAAUAAACCUAUUCAAGAAGUCAGAAUUAACUAUGAUUUUGCUUUACCCCCGAAUAAAUCUAAAGGUAUAAACAUGAAUUUACAUAUUCCUCAUAUUCAAAACCAGAUUGCUGAAAACAGUAAUCUAUUUUCAGAAAAUGCUCAACCUCAGCCUUUUAUUUUGGGAAGUGACUUAGACAAAAAUGAUGAACAUGUUUUACCCUCAACUUCUAGUAGUGACAACAGUGUCCAACUAUUAAAUACCAAUCAGAAUCACUAUGAAUGUAUUGCACUUGAUAAAUCAAAUACCCACAUUUCCAGUUCUUUGUUUUACCCACUGGGAAAGAAGCAUCUUAUUUCCAAAGACACAGAAGCACAUAUAUCUGAACCUGAAGAUUUGGGAAAGAUUAGAAGUCCACCCCCUGACCAUGUUGAGGUUGAAACUGCCAGAGAAGGCAAACAAUACUGGAAUCCUAGAAAUUCUUCAGAACUUUCUGGAUUAGUAAAUACCAUUUCUAUUUUAAAGUCGCUAUCUGAACACAGUACUGCUUUAGACAGCUUGGAAAUAUUGAAAAAGAAAAAUACUGUCUUUCAGCAAGGAACUCAACAGACGUAUGAGCCAGAUAGCAGUCCUGAAGUGAGGAAACCAUUUAUUACAGUAGUUUCACCAAAGUCUCCUCAUCUGCACAAGGAUUCUCAACAGAUACUAAAAGAAGAUGAAGUUGAACUAAGUGAACCACUUCAGUCUGUGCAGACAGGUUCUUACUCUGUCACCCAGACUAGAGUGCAGUGGCACAGUCACAGCUCACUGCAGCCUUGACCUCCAGCGCUCAAGCCAUCCUCCUGCUUCAGCCUCCCAAGUAGCUGGGACCACAGUUCUCUUCCUCGGGAAGUAAAGAAGAGACUGCUUUUCAAGCUGUUAUUCCUAAACAAAUAGAGAGAAAAACCUGUGACCCUAAGGUAAAAUUUGUGAAGAACAUCGAUUUCUUUAACCAACUAUAUUUUCUUUUCUGUUUUAAAAAAAAAACCAAAAAAGCAAGUAUCAGAGUUUUCACAGGCAGAAGGUUAGUAGCAUAAUAAAUAAGUCUGGUUUUAAGAACAAGAAAAACUAUUUAAUGACUCCUGCCCCCCUUUUUGGUCUUAAACUUUCUCUAUACUACUAAUGAGCUAAUAAUAACAGUGUUUACAUUAUCCUUCCAUACAUAGGAUACUCUAGGGGUUGGACACAAAGCCAUGUAGAGUAAAAUUAAUGAAUACUCUGUGGGUGAGUAUCUUUAUACCCUUUAACUUAUUAUAGUCUAUUCUACCACUUAUACUUCUGAGUAUAUAGAAGUAUACGUAACCAACAUCUAAGUAGUGCUACCUAAUCUAUAUCAAAAAUUAACAAUGACAACAGCAUA